GACGAACGCUGGCGGCGUGCUUAACACAUGCAAGUCGAACGGUAAGGCCCCUUCGGGGGUACACGAGUGGCGAACGGGUGAGUAACACGUGGGUAAUCUGCCCUGCACUUCGGGAUAAGCCUGGGAAACCGGGUCUAAUACCGGAUAUGAACUCCUGCCGCAUGGUGGGGGUUGGAAAGUUUUUCGGUGCAGGAUGAGCCCGCGGCCUAUCAGCUUGUUGGUGGGGUAAUGGCCUACCAAGGCGACGACGGGUAGCCGGCCUGAGAGGGUGAUCGGCCACACUGGGACUGAGACACGGCCCAGACUCCUACGGGAGGCAGCAGUGGGGAAUAUUGCACAAUGGGCGAAAGCCUGAUGCAGCGACGCCGCGUGGGGGAUGACGGUCUUCGGAUUGUAAACCCCUUUCAGUAGGGACGAAAGCGCAAAGUGACGGUACC
rnacentral:rRNA from 1 species